rnacentral:rRNA from 1 species
UACGGGGGGGGCAAGCGUUGUUCGGAAUUACUGGGCGUAAAGGGCUUGUAGGUGGCCAACUAAGUCAGACGUGAAAUCCCUCGGCUUAACCGGGGAACUGCGUCUGAUACUGGAUGGCUUGAGUUUGGGAGAGGGAUGCGGAAUUCCAGGUGUAGCGGUGAAAUGCGUAGAUAUCGGGAGGAACACCAAUGGCGAAGGCAGCUUGCUGGGACGGUACUGACGCUGAGACGCGAAAGCGUGGGGAGCAAACAGG